AUGAACGCUGGCGGCGUGCCUAAUACUUGCAAGUCGAGCGAACAGACGAGGAGCUUGCUCCUCUGACGUUAGCGGCGGACGGGUGAGUAACACGUGGAUAACCUACCUAUAAGACUGGGAUAACUUCGGGAAACCGGAGCUAAUACCGGAUAAUAUAUUGAACCGCAUGGUUCAAUAGUGAAAGACGGUUUUGCUGUCACUUAUAGAUGGAUCCGCGCCGCAUUAGCUAGUUGGUAAGGUAACGGCUUACCAAGGCAACGAUGCGUAGCCGACCUGAGAGGGUGAUCGGCCACACUGGAACUGAGACACGGUCCAGACUCCUACGGGAGGCAGCAGUAGGGAAUCUUCCGCAAAGGGCGAAAGCCUGACGGAGCAACGCCGCGUGAGUGAUGAAGGUCUUCGGAUCGUAAAACUCUGUUAUUAGGGAAGAACAAAUGUGUAAGUAACUAUGCACGUCUUGACGGUACCUAAUCAGAAAGCCACGGCUAACUACGUG
rnacentral:rRNA from 1 species